rnacentral:rRNA from 1 species
GAUGAACGCUAGCGGCAGGCCUAAUACAUGCAAGUCGAACGGUGUCUUCGGACAUAGUGGCGCACGGGUGCGUAACACGUAUGCAACCUACCUUACAUUGGGGGAUAGCCUUUCGAAAGGGAGAUUAGUACCGCAUAAGACAGUAGCUGGGCAUCCAGCAGCUGUUUAAGAUUUAUCGAUGUAAGCUGGGCAUGCGUCCAAUUAGCUAGUUGGUGAGGUAACGGCUCACCAAGGCAAUGAUUGGUAGGGGAACUGAGAGGUCAAUCCCCCACACUGGCACUGAGAUACGGGCCAGACUCCUACGCGAGGCAGCAGUAGGGAAUAUUGGGCAAUGGACGCAAGUCUGACCCAGCCAUGCCGCGUGCAGGAUGAAGGCGUUAUGCGUUGUAAACUGCUUUUAUACAGGAUGAAACGACUCUUGCGAGAGGCAUUGACGGUACUGUAUGAAUAAGCACCGGCUAACUCCGUGCCAGCCGCCGCAGUAAAAC